CCUACGGGGGGCAGCAGUGGGGGAUAUUGCACAAUGGGGGGAACCCUGAUGCAGCGACGCCGCGUGGGUGAAGGAGUGCUUCGGCAUGUAAAGCCCUAUCGGCAGGGAAGAAGCAAGACGGUACCUGACUAAGAAGCCCCGGCUAACUACGUGCCAGCAGCCGCGGUAAUACGUAGGGGGCGAGCGUUAUCCGGAUUCACUGGGUGUAAAGGGAGCGUAGGCGGCCAUGCAAGCCAGGGGUGAAAUCCCGGGGCCCAACCCCGGGACUGCCCUUGGAACUGGGCGGCUAGAGUGCGGGAGGGGCAGGCAGAAUGCCUGGUGUAGCGGUGAAAUGCGUAGAUAUCAGGAGGAACACCGACGGCGAAGGCGGCCUGCUGGACCGCGACUGACGUUGAGGCUCGAAAGCGUGGGGAGCGAACAGGAUUAGAUACCCCUGUAGUC
rnacentral:rRNA from 1 species